AGUGGGAGCACAGAGCAAUCUGUGUGACUGCGUACCUUUUGUAUAAUGGGUCAGCGACUUAUAUUCUGUAGCAAGGUUAACCGAAUAGGGGAGCCGAAGGGAAACCGAGUCUUAACUGGGCGUUAAGUUGCAGGGUAUAGACCCGAAACCCGGUGAUCUAGCCAUGGGCAGGUUGAAGGUUGGGUAACACUAACUGGAGGACCGAACCGACUAAUGUUGAAAAAUUAGCGGAUGACUUGUGGCUGGGGGUGAAAGGCCAAUCAAACCGGGAGAUAGCUGGUUCUCCCCGAAAGCUAUUUAGGUAGCGCCUCGUGAAUUCAUCUCCGGGGGUAGAGCACUGUUUCGGCAAGGGGGUCAUCCCGACUUACCAACCCGAUGCAAACUGCGAAUACCGGAGAAUGUUAUCACGGGAGACACACGGCGGGUGCUAACGUCCGUCGUGAAGAGGGAAACAACCCAGACCGCCAGCUAAGGUCCCAAAGUCAUGGUUAAGUGGGAAACGAUGUGGGAAGGCCCAGACAGCCAGGAUGUUGGCUUAGAAGCAGCCAUCAUUUAAAGAAAGCGUAAUAGCUCACUGGUCGAGUCGGCCUGCGCGGAAGAUGUAACGGGGCUAAACCAUG
rnacentral:rRNA from 1 species